AUUUUGUCUUUUGUUUUCUUUGUGAUAUAAAAUUAUAAAUUUCUCAUGAAGGCAGAGGUUAGAAACUAUGGAUGUUGCUUUGAUAGGUUUACAGCGAUUUAUUAUUUUCUAUUUUCAUUUCAAAGUCAUUUUAAAUCUUUUAAUGCCGUGAAAUACAGAAAUGAUACAGAGCUUUCUAAAGAAAUUCGGAACUUAAAAGAAAAUUAUAAAACAAUAUAAAUCAAAACAACAUCCCAAAUUUGUAAUCUCUACCUUCAUGAGAAAUUUAUAAUUUUUUACCACAAAGAAAACAACCUACUUAAUAAAUAAGACAAAAUAUUAUCUAAGUGUUGACAUUCCAACAAAUUUCUACUGCCCUUUUUGUUACUGACUAAAUAGUUACAUCUUUUAAUACAUCAGAAGUCUUUCUACCGUAAUUUUCAAUUUAUUAGUAAAAGAUAUUGUUUUUUCAAAUAGUUUUUUUAAUGGUUUUUUUAUGCAUUUAAUAGCUGAUGAUUGCCAUGUAUGGCAUGAAACUCCAUAAACCCAGCCCUGGCCAAGCUAUGUUUUAUCAAAGCCAGCCCUGGUCAAAUAUCAAUCCAAGCUGCUUACUAAGUUUAUCCAGUAACAAGAAAUAUGAAAUAAUAACACUGCUUGUAACCUGCUUUAUAUCAUGAUGGGUCCAUCCGAGCAAACCUCCUACUACCUGCAAAAUAUCAGAUCGUUUAUCAUUGGGUGACUGAAAGUAGCGAAGCAGUAAGUUUGCUAUAAGAAACCUAUCAAAUGAGAAAAAAUGAGUAAAAUAAUUCUAUAAUUAAUGUAAUAAUAAUAUAAAUAAUAUGUAUCCAGUAGAAAAAAAACAAAAAACAACUGUUUAUAAAA